rnacentral:rRNA from 1 species
GGUUGCGAUCAUACCAGCAGUAAUGCACCGGAUCCCAUCAGAACUCCGCAGUUAAGCGUGCUUGGGCGAGAGUAGUACUAGGAUGGGUGACCCCUUGGGAAGUCCUCGUGUUGCAACCC